rnacentral:tRNA from 1 species
AGCCCUGUAGUGUAGCGGUCAAUCAUCUCUGGUUCUGGGCCGGAGGACCCCGGUUCAAAUCCGGGCAGGGCUA